UACGGGGGGGGCAAGCGUUGUUCGGAAUUACUGGGCGUAAAGGGCUCGUAGGCGGCCAACUAAGUCAGACGUGAAAUCCCUCGGCUUAACCGGGGAACUGCGUCUGAUACUGGAUGGCUAGAGGUUGGGAGAGGGAUGCGGAAUUCCAGGUGUAGCGGUGAAAUGCGUAGAUAUCUGGAGGAACACCUAUGGCGAAGGCAGCUCUCUGGGACGGUACUGACGCUGAGACGCGAAAGCGUGGGGAGCGAACAGG
rnacentral:rRNA from 1 species